rnacentral:rRNA from 1 species
GAUGAACGCUGGCGGCGUGCCUAAUACAUGCAAGUCGAGCGACUGGAUUAAGAGCUUGCUCUUAUGAAGUUAGCGGCGGACGGGUGAGUAACACGUGGGUAACCUGCCCCUAAGACUGGGAUAACUCCGGGAAACCGGGGCUAAUACCGGAUAACAUGUUGAACCGCAUGGUUCGAAAUUGAAAGGCGGCUUCGGCUGUCACAUAUGGAAGGACCCCGGUCGCAUUAGCCUGUUGGUGCGGUAACGGCUCACCAAGGCAACGAUGCGUAGCCGACCUGAGAGGGUGAUCGGCCACACUGGGACGGAGACACGGCCCAGACUCCUACGGGAGGCAGCAGUAGGGAAUCUUCCGCAAUGGACGAAAGUCUGACGGAGCAACGCCGCGUGAGUGAUGAAGGCUUUCGGGUCGUAAAACUCUGUUGUUAGGGAAGAACAAGUGCUAGUUGAAUAAGCUGGCACCUUGACGGUACCUAACCAGAAAGCCACGGCUAACUACGUGCCAGCAGCCGCGGUAA